AAGAGGAUGUGGAUUUUAUAUUUCACACACGUGCGCCGGCCCGGCCUAACUCGGCUUACAUGCACGAAAUGAAAUUUAAUUAUUUUACUUUUUUUACUAUAUUCUAUUUUAUCUUUUAUUUUAUUAUAUUUUAUUUUUUUAAUAUAUUUUUUUUGUUGAUCGGUCAUUUUCCUUCAUGGUCAAACGGUCAAAUGAUUGUUCAUCUCAGAUGGCCAUAUUUUUCUUUGACUGAUUACCUUCCUUCAGGUCCUCCAGUCAAAUGGCCAUCUACAGGC
rnacentral:lncRNA from 1 species